CCUGGAAUAUGAAAAGAAACCUGUUGUGUUGCACAAUCUUAUGUGUUUUUGGAACUUGUUUAAUGGCGAGAAUCGGAUGAAGCAGAGGACGGCUUGUUGUCGCCGCCGUGCUCCUCUUGUUCGCCUUGAAACCGUGCUGGUAUACGAAAACCGGAGAAUUCACCACUUGAAGCAAAUGCAAUGCCUGGAAUAGCAGAUUGGUGAAUCCCGGGAGGGAUAUGGUAGGGAUGAUGAUGGUGGAGAUCGUCAGUGGUCAUGGACUGCUGAUGAUGAUGAUGAUGAUGGUGAGGAUCAAACCAAGCACGAAUCAUAGGUGUGUUAAUGGACUGAAGGGGACCCCUCUGUGAUAAAAGCUGACUUUGGCUAUAAACUGGAUGCAACGACGACGGAGAAGCAAACACAAAUCCUCCGGUACUUCCGGCGGAUUCAGCUGCUCCGACGUUGUUCCAUGACACUAGUCUCUGUAUCUUUCCAAAUUCCGGUGACUGAUGACUCUGUUCCCAGCUUGCCGUCGAUGAGUCAAACGCUAACUGAUUAUUGCUCUGGCCGGAGAACAGAGCAGGUUCUGUUUGAUUAGGAAAAGGUGGACCAUUUUGGAAAGAUUGAAGCGAGAGACGAAGAAGAUCUUGGUUCUGUGUAUUGCCUCGUGACGGUGGCUGAUGAUGAUAGCUCUGUUGCGUUGAAGCUACCGGAAAAAACGACUUUAUAGUGUCAGCUAUCGAAUCAGAAUCCAUUGACGCCGGAAGAAAACUCGAUUCGUUAUCUUCUUCUUCUCCGAUUCGAUGAUGCUCUGUUUCUUCCGGUUGUGGCGGUGGCGGAGAAAUUAAAGUUUUGGUUUUUCUGGGUUUAGCGUUAGCAGCAGCGGCGGCGUGUUGACGAAGAGUAUCGGCGGGGUUCCAAGGAGGAAGCUGAGCAAGAUCAUCAAUGGCGGAUUUAGCUUUAGUAAUAAGCCAAUCAACAGCUUUACUUGGUCGAUCAAAACCAAGUCUAUCUUGAACAUCGUAGAAUUGAAUCGCCGUCGGAGCUGAGAGUCUCACGCGCCGGUCACGUGGUCCUUUCGCUGUACAUACUUUACUAUGUCUGUCUUUUCUUCCUGUUGACCGAACAAUGUGACCUCCUUGUACCUCCACAAUCUCGCCGCAACCACCACCGUUCUCCGUCGCUGAUUGGUGGUGUCUCAUCUCUAGAAGAGGCGGCGACGGAGAAUCUAAGAAAUGGUCGUUAUCUGGUGCCAUUGAUGAAGCAUAUUGUGGAAAUUCAAGGUCGUUGAUGGUGGUGGUGGUUGGAUUAUGACGGCGGCGGCGACGGCGGUCGUUAACCGCCGAGGAAUCCAGAGUCGUUCGAUUUAUUUAAUUCAACAUUUUGCCUCUCCUCCAAAUCCCAAACCCUAAACACGCCAACAAAUCAAAGAUGAAGAAGAAGAAGAAGAAGAAGACGUAAUUGAAUUUUGCAGACUAACCCAUGACUAAAUUUCUCUUCUUUUGUCUAAAGAUUGUUUCUUUUUUAGAAUUUGUCUCUGUUUCUGAGAAUUCAAGAAGCAAAAACAGAGGAAGCAAGAAGAGAGAGAAGAGAUAGAGAGAUGUGGAAUUGACUAAACGAGAAUCCAGGAAAGCUCUUUUUAAUUUUUUGUUUCUGGCCGGAAAAUUUACAGUAACGGUAAAAAAAGGAAGAGAUUUUGGGGUUUGGGGAAGAGAGGGAAAUGGUAAUGGAAGGAGUGUGUUUGGUCAUAAAAAGAGCUCUCUGAUACUCAUCAUCAUCACUUGUGCUUUUAUUUCAUUUUUAAAGUGUUUUCUUAUUUUAUAUUAUAUAUUUUAUGGUUUUUCUAAAUGAAAAACAAAAAGCUUUUGUCCGAUUCAUCAUGUGGAAAUAUUUUACAUGACAUUUCGAAUUGUAUUAGCUAUAUACAUUACAAUGGAUAUAUUUUGGU
rnacentral:lncRNA from 1 species